UCUUCAGGGCCGGAUGUGGAGAAGGAAUCUUACAGUUCAUAAACAAGAUCAUAAAAGAACAACUUGCUUUGUUACCACUUCUACUGAGGCUGUGAAACACGAGUUACUGAAAAUACUACACUGCAGCUUGUGUCCAUGAGGCUCAGGAGAAUGAGAUGCUGUGCUGCAAACAACUCAGAAGCAGGAAAGGAGAAGAAGGAGGGGAGAAAAUGAGCUGCCUCAGUAAUAUACCUCCUCUGACAAAGCUGAAAGUGCCUGGCUAUUUCUCAGCAAAUGAAAAAAAGUCUAAAGGAAUGAGGUCAUAAGAAUGGCUGAAUCAAAUGACCAUGAGACAGCUGUGUCCAAAUUUCUAUGUGGUAUUUAUAUAGUGAAUACAAAUGAGAAAUCUGAUUUGAAGGUGUGGAGAGCUCUGCUCCACUUAUGCAUGAAAGUCUCUUAUGAAAGUGUAUGCAAAAUUCAGAUGUGUGCCACUGGUUUUGGAGCUACAGAACAUGCAAUUUCCACCCCCGUGAUAAAUAUUCAUACCACUUAAUUGCACACAGAUAAUGACAUCUCCAAGUAUUGCUGCAGCAUCAUGUCUGCUUUCCUUUCUUAGUUGUUUCCUCAGAGGAUCAGUUCUGCUCUGCUUAGGACCAAAACCUGAGAGCAUUCCCACGGGGUUGUGCUGACAACACAGACAGUGGGGUAGUCACAAGUCUCUGGAAUAAGCUUUUCAUUAAGGUUCUUUAUCCUACAAAACAACCAAAAAGCAGUUGAGGUAGUACAGAGUUCACAGAGGCUAGUUUAUCAGGCUCCUAAGCAGACUAGCCAUGCAUCUAUAGCCUGUUUGUAUGACUCUCUCCACAAGUGCAGACAUAGCUUGCAAGGUCACAGAGAAUUCAGAAGUACAGGAACAGCAAAAGAGUAUGAAAAUUACAAAUAUAUUGUCAUGCUUAACAGGUUACAGUUGCUUUCAAACAGAAGGUAUCUCAAAGUUACCCACACCUUUUGCAAAUAAGCUCUUAAGGUGAAGUUUCAUUCAUUUCCAGUGAGGCUAGGGAGAGUAGACCAGUGUAACACUAGUGUGUGCAGGAGGGUCUUUCUAGGGCCUCACAGAUUUUAUCUAUAUUGGCAAGUAAUUCUGUGCAAUAGGAAGAGAUCAAUAAAUCAAAGCUUCCCCUUGUUCCUAGUUUAAUACAUUGCAAACCAAAUCCAAGUACAAGAAAGGAGCAACCAGGAGAUCUGUGCAGCAAUACAUUGCUGUUCCAAGCCAAGCUGUUGAUAUCAGCAUGGCCACACUUACUCUUACAGAGGACCUUAGAAAAUUAGAUCUUCAAAGUUUUACCUUAAAGGAGAUGAUAUGGAAAAGUCAUUCUUACCACUGACAAACCUAAACAUAAAACUCUGCUUUUCCACACAUCUUUCCCUUGCAGGUUUCAGUUCUGUCAGAGCACACAGCAUGUCAGACAAUUUUUGUUGUUAUUGUUGUUAAUCAUAUAAUACAGUCAGCUUUGUGGCAGGUAAAUGAAAUUUAGGCAUCUUUCUAUCUCCCCGUCAGUAUUUGGCCAUAAGAUUCUACAUUAAAUUGUUCUUUGCUCCAAAGCUCGCCCAGAGCAACAGCACUCCAACUUCACACAAGAGCUGAGUGAAGCUCUUUGUUUUACAGCAGUUACAAUCAAACUGUUGUUCUUCGUGCUUUAAUGGAGAUCCUAGAAAAGGAGAUUUGAAAAAGAGGGUUAAGAACAGGUUUAUAAAACUUAAGUAUGUACCUAAUCUGUCUGGGAAAAUUCAUAAUUCACUUUGCACAUUUUUGAAGCUGUCUCCAACCUUAAUAUCACAACAUCAUGCAAAGUCUGGAAGUAUGUGAUUAAUAGAUUUACCUAAUUAAAAACAAGCAAACAAAACAACAAACAAAAGUAAGUUUAUGUCUAAAACUGUCUGUUGGUGUGCCAAAUAUAUGCACAAAUAUAUACUGUAUUUUGUGUGUAUUUGUACAUUUAUAUGAAAACACACAUACAUAUAUAGAACUAUGUGUACAAUAAUUAAUAAAGCAAUGUUUCUU
rnacentral:lncRNA from 7 species